rnacentral:rRNA from 1 species
AUGCAGUCGAGCGGAUCGAACGGGAGCUUGCUUCUGUUCGGUUAGCGGCGGACGGGUGAGUAACACGUGGGCAACCUGCCCGUAAGACCGGGAUAACUUCGGGAAACCGGAGCUAAUACCGGAUAACACCGAAGACCGCAUGGUCUUUGGUUGAAAGGCGGCUUUGGCUGUCACUUACGGAUGGGCCCGCGGCGCAUUAGCUAGUUGGUGAGGUAACGGCUCACCAAGGCGACGAUGCGUAGCCGACCUGAGAGGGUGAUCGGCCACACUGGGACUGAGACACGGCCCAGACUCCUACGGGAGGCAGCAGUAGGGAAUCUUCCGCAAUGGACGAAAGUCUGACGGAGCAACGCCGCGUGAGCGAAGAAGGUCUUCGGAUUGUAAAGCUCUGUUGUUAGGGAAGAACAAGUACCGUUCGAAUAGGGCGGUACCGUGACGGUACCUAACGAGAAAGCCACGGCUAACUACGUGCCAGCAGCCGCGGUAAUACGUAGGUGGCAAGCGUUGUCCGGAAUUAUUGGGCGUAAAGCGCGCGCAGGCGGUCCUUUAAGUCUGAUGUGAAAGCCCACGGCUCAACCGUGGAGGGUCAUUGGAAACUGGGGGACUUGAGUGCAGAAGAGGAGAGCGGAAUUCCACGUGUAGCGGUGAAAUGCGUAGAGAUGUGGAGGAACACCAGUGGCGAAGGCGGCUCUCUGGUCUG